rnacentral:rRNA from 1 species
GUAGGGAAUUUUCCACAAUGGGCGAAAGCCUGAUGGAGCAACGCCGCGUGCAGGAUGAAGGCUUUCGGGUCGUAAACUGCUUUUAUCUGUGACGAAUAUGACGGUAGCAGAUGAAUAAGCCUCGGCUAACUCCGUGCCAGCAGCCGCGGUCAUACGGAGGAGGCAAGCGUUAUCCGGAAUUACUGGGCGUAAAGAGUUGCGUAGGUGGCAAAGUGUGUCAGUAGUGAAAGCGUGUGGCUCAACCAUAUAUACAUUACUGAAACUGCUUAGCUAGAGGACGAGAGAGGUUAUUGGAAUUCCCAGUGUAGGAGUGAAAUCCGUAGAUAUUGGGAGGAACACCGAUGGCGUAGGCAGAUAACUGGCUCGUUCCUGACACUAAGGCACGAAAGCGUGGGUAGCAAACGGGAUUAGAUACCCUUGUAGUCC